rnacentral:rRNA from 1 species
CACGUAGGGUGCGAGCGUUGUCCGGAAUUAUUGGGCGUAAAGAGCUCGUAGGCGGUGUGUCACGUCGGCCGUGAAAACCUGCAGCUUAACUGUGGGCGUGCGGUCGAUACGGGCAUCACUGGAGUUCGGCAGGGGAGACUGGAAUUCCUGGUGUAGCGGUGAAAUGCGCAGAUAUCAGGAGGAACACCGGUGGCGAAGGCGGGUCUCUGGGGCCGAUACUGACGCUGAGGAGCGAAAGCGUGGGGAGCAAACAGG